AUUGAACGCUGGCGGCAGGCUUAACACAUGCAAGUCGAGCGGAGCGAGGGUGCUUGCACCUUAGCUUAGCGGCGGACGGGUGAGUAAUGCUUAGGAAUCUGCCUAUUAGUGGGGGACAACAUUCCGAAAGGAAUGCUAAUACCGCAUACGCCCUACGGGGGAAAGCAGGGGAUCUUCGGACCUUGCGCUAAUAGAUGAGCCUAAGUCGGAUUAGCUAGUUGGUGGGGUAAAGGCCUACCAAGGCGACGAUCUGUAGCGGGUCUGAGAGGAUGAUCCGCCACACUGGGACGGAGACACGGCCCAGACUCCUACGGGAGGCAGCAGGGGGGAAUAUUGGACAAUGGGCGGAAGCCUGAUCCAGCCAUGCCGCGUGUGUGAAGAAGGCCUUUUGGUUGUAAAGCACUUUAAGCGAGGAGGAGGCUACUUAGAUUAAUACUCUAGGAUAGUGGACGUUACUCGCAGAAUAAGCACCGGCUAACUCUGUGCCAGCCGCCGCAGUAA
rnacentral:rRNA from 1 species